GAUGAACGCUAGCGGCAGGCUUAAUACAUGCAAGUCGAGGGGCAUCAAGGUACACGAAAGUGUAUUGUUGGCGACCGGCGGACGGGUGAGUAAUAGGUAGGUAACCUACCUCAUACUGAGGCAUAGCUGGGAGAAAUUCCAGGUAAUUCCUCAUGAGGUUAUAUGACACAUGUGAUAUAAUCAAAGGUAUCGCAAGGUACUGGUAUGAGAUGGGCUUACUGACCAUUAGCUAGUUGGUGAGAUAAGAGCUCACCAAGGCGAAGAUGGUUAGGGGUUUUGAGAGAGAGAUCCCCCACAUUGGGAACUGAGAUACGGUCCAGACUCCUAACGGGAGGCAGCAGUAGGGAAUAUUGGGCAAUGGGCGGAAGCCUGACCCAGCCAUGCCGCGUGAAGGAAGACGGCCUUAUGGUUGUAAACUUCUUACUAUGCGACUAACUAGAUUUACGAGAUAAUUCUAUAGAAUGUAGCAUAGCAAAAAGCACCGGA
rnacentral:rRNA from 1 species